rnacentral:piRNA from 1 species
UAAAACGAUGACGCUUCUGAAAGAGGAGU